GAAAGGGCAAACCACCGGAAACGGUGGGACGCAAAACAACCGGCCUACGGCGAAAGCCACGGCGGCGGCAUUACCGA
rnacentral:ncRNA from 1 species